rnacentral:rRNA from 1 species
CAUGCCAAUGGCAUUGCCCGGUAGCUAAAUGCGGAAGAGAUAAGUGCUGAAAGCAUCUAAGCACGAAACUUGCCCCGAGAUGAGUUCUCCCUGAGACUUUAAGUCUCCUGAAGGAACGUUGAAGACGACGACGUUGAUAGGCCGGGUGUGUAAGCGCAGCGAUGCGUUGAGCUAACCGGUACUAAUGAACCGUGAGGCUUAACCUU